UUGAUUUCAUUGGUUAAGUAAUAAACCAACUGCUUGGCCUCAUAGCUUAGAACAUAGAUGGGAGGAGGAAACAGAAUAGAAUUCUGGGCGGAAGAGGAAGUGAGGUCAGACUCUGCUCUGCUCCCGGAGAGACCCGACAGCUCUGCUGGAGCAGAGACGCCAUGCUCAACUCUCCCAGGAUGGACAGAGGCUAGAAUCUUCCCCAUCUUCCCAGUGAGCACCCAUGUGUCACAUUCUGCUUUGGGUGCCAUCUCCCAGGCCCUAUCUGACCUAUGGCAGAUGGAGCUGACUCGUGGGUUUGUGAACUCCGCACCUACACUUGGUUCAAUGCUCGUCAGUUGUCCACUAGCAAUUCUAACAACUCUGAACACUGACUCCCACAUUUUCAUCUUAGCCUGGGCUCUACAACGAUGUCUUUGGUCCCAGUGACAGCACUCAAGGUUCUUGCUCCACAGUCUGAGCUUGAGGGAUCCAUUCUGCGGAAGAAGGAAGUGCAGGCACUCCAAGGCUGGGAGUAGAAGCGGUCGUGCUCCAGGCUAGCGAUCACUGAUGGCUAGCAUCCUCUCACGUGCUUGUCGGCACCGGGCUCUGAUGCUAUCCUUGAUCUGCUGAUUAUCUUGUCAUCUGUCUUCACCAAAUAACCCCAAAUUGGGAAUCUUACUGACAGAGGUUUCGAAUGAAUAAGAACUUUCUUCCUCGUUAUGUUUCUACUUGAUAUUCUUCAGCUCGUUAUGUGAUUAAAAAUGAAAUCAUAUCUUUGGAUGCUUGAGGUUUGGCUGGCUGGCUGGGAAUGGUUUUCUGGCAGUCAUUAAUGAUCCCCCCCUCUUUCUAUUUAAAUAACA